rnacentral:rRNA from 1 species
UGACGAGUGGCGGACGGGUGAGUAAUGCUUGGGAACUUGCCUUUGCGAGGGGGAUAACAGUUGGAAACGACUGCUAAUACCGCAUAAUGUCUUCGGACCAAACGGGGCUUCGGCUCCGGCGCAAAGAGAGGCCCAAGUGAGAUUAGCUAGUUGGUAAGGUAACGGCUUACCAAGGCAACGAUCUCUAGCUGUUCUGAGAGGAAGAUCAGCCACACUGGGACUGAGACACGGCCCAGACUCCUACGGGAGGCAGCAGUGGGGAAUAUUGCACAAUGGGGGAAACCCUGAUGCAGCCAUGCCGCGUGUGUGAAGAAGGCCUUCGGGUUGUAAAGCACUUUCAGUUGUGAGGAAAAGUUAGUAGUUAAUACCUGCUAGCCGUGACGUUAACAACAGAAGAAGCACCGGCUAACUCCGUGCCAGCAGCCGCGGUAAUACGGAGGGUGCGAGCGUUAAUCGGAAUUACUGGGCGUAAAGCGCGCGUAGGCGGUUAAGUAAGUUGGAUGUGAAAGCCCUGGGCUCAACCUAGGAACUGCAUUCAAAACUAUUUAACUAGAGUACGAGAGAGGAGAGUAGAAUUUCUGGUGUAGCGGUGAAAUGCGUAGAUAUCAGAAGGAAUACCAAUGGCGAAGGCAGCUCUCUGGAUCGUCACUGACGCUAAGGUGCGAAAGCGUGGGUAGCAAACAGGAUUAGAUACCCUGGUAGUCCACGCCGUAAACGAUGAGAACUAGCCGUUGGGGAGAAUUAACUCUUCAGUGGCGCAGCUAACGCAUUAAGUUCUCCGCCUGGGGACUACGGCCGCAAGGCUAAAACUCAAAUGAAUUGACGGGGGCCCGCACAAGCGGUGGAUCAUGUGGUUUAAUUCGAUGCAACGCGAAGAACCUUACCUACCCUUGAAAUCCAGCGAAGUUCCUAGAGAUAGGAAUGUGCCUUCGGGAACGCUGUGACAGGUGUUGCAUGGCUGUCGUCAGCUCGUGUCGUGAGAUGUAUGGUUAAGUCCAGUAACGAGCGCAACCCCUAUCCUUAUUUGCCAGCGCAUAAUGGCGGGAACUAUAAGGAGACUGCCGGUCAUAAACCGGAGGAAGGCGGGGACGAAGUCAAGUCAUCAUGGCCCUUAUGGGUAGGGCUACACACGUGAUACAAUGGGUGGUACAGAGGGUCGCCAAAGCGCGAGCUGGAGCCAAACCCUUAAAACCAUUCUUAGUCCGGAUUGGAGUCUGCAACUCGACUCCAUGAAGUUGGAAUCGCUAGUAAUCGCGAAUCAGAAUGUCGCGGUGAAUACGUUCUCGGGCCUUGUACACACCGCCCGUCACGUCAUGGAAGUGGGUUGCACCAGAAGUGGCUUGUUUAACCUUCGGGAAAACGGUCACCACGGUGUGAUUCACAACUGGGACGAAGUCGUAACAAGGUAGC